CAGUCGCCACGGUAAUACGUAGGUGGCAAGCGUUGUCCGGAAUUAUUGGGCGUAAAGCGCGCGCAGGCGGAUCAGUCAGUCUGUCUUAAAAGUUCGGGGCUUAACCCCGUGAGGGGAUGGAAACUGCUGAUCUAGAGUAUCGGAGAGGAAAGUGGAAUUCCUAGUGUAGCGGUGAAAUGCGUAGAUAUUAGGAAGAACACCAGUGGCGAAGGCGACUUUCCGGACGAAAACUGACGCUGAGGCGCGAAAGCCAGGGGAGCGAACGGGAUUAGAUACCCGAGUAGUCCCUGUCUCUUAUACA
rnacentral:rRNA from 1 species